rnacentral:lncRNA from 1 species
GUGGAACAGCCAAGCACGAGGUGUCUCUGUGCAUGCAACCGAAGCAUGCUGAUCGACAUGUGUGUGCUGGGGUGGCGUCUUGCAUGAGUCCUAGCCAUGCAUCCUGACAUGUGGGAGGAGUGGUGGCGUACUGCAUGUGUCCUGGACAUGCAGCAAGACAUGUGGAGCACGAGGUGCCGCCGCGCAUGCGUCCGGAGCCAUGCG